GACGAACGCUGGCGGCGUGCUUAACACAUGCAAGUCGAACGGAAAGGCCCUGCUUUUGUGGGGUGCUCGAGUGGCGAACGGGUGAGUAACACGUGAGUAACCUGCCCUUGACUUUGGGAUAACUUCAGGAAACUGGGGCUAAUACCGGAUAGGAGCUCCUGCUGCAUGGUGGGGGUUGGAAAGUUUCGGCGGUUGGGGAUGGACUCGCGGCUUAUCAGCUUGUUGGUGGGGUAGUGGCUUACCAAGGCUUUGACGGGUAGCCGGCCUGAGAGGGUGACCGGCCACAUGGGGACUGAGAUACGGCCCAGACUCCUACGGGAGGCAGCAGUGGGGAAUAUUGCACAAUGGGCGGAAGCCUGAUGCAGCAACGCCGCGUGCGGGAUGACGGCCUUCGGGUUGGAAACCGCUUUCGCCUGUGACGAAGCGUGAGGGACGGUAAUGGGUAAAGAAGCACCGGCUAACUACGU
rnacentral:rRNA from 1 species